GACGAACGCUGGCGGCGUGCUUAACACAUGCAAGUCGAACGGAAAGGCCCUGCUUGCAGGGUGCUCGAGUGGCGAACGGGUGAGUAACACGUGGGUGAUCUGCCCUGCACUUUGGGAUAAGCCUGGGAAACUGGGUCUAAUACCGGAUAUUCCUUGCUGGUUGCAUGGCUGGUGGGGGAAAGCUUUUGCGGUGUGGGAUGGGCCCGCGGCCUAUCAGCUAGUUGGUGAGGUAACGGCUUACCAAGGCAACGACGGUAGCUGGUCUGAGAGGACGAUCAGCCGGAUUGGGACUGAGAUACGGCCCAGACUCCUACGGGGGGCGAGCAAUUAGGAAUCUUGCACAAUGGGCGAAAGCCUGAUGCAGCGACGUCGCGUGGAGGAUGAAGUCUUCGGGACGUAAACUCCUUUUCUCAGGGAAGAAGAAUGUGACGGUACC
rnacentral:rRNA from 1 species